UACGGAGGGGGCGAGCGUUAUUCGGAAUUACUGGGCGUAAAGCGCGCGCAGGCGGCUAUCCAAGUCAGUGGUGAAAGCCCGGAGCUCAACUCCGGAACUGCCAUUGAAACUGUUUAGCUUGAGGAUGAGAGAGGUGAGUGGAAUUCCCAGUGUAGAGGUGAAAUUCGUAGAUAUUGGGAAGAACACCGGUGGCGAAGGCGGCUCACUGGCGCAUAACUGACGCUCAGGCGCGAUAGCGUGGGGAUCAAACAGG
rnacentral:rRNA from 1 species